CCAGCUGUAAACGAUGCAGGCUAGGUGUUUGGACGGCCACGUGCCGUUCUAGUGCCGCAGGGAAGCUGUUAAGCCUGCCGCCUGGGGAGUACGAUCGCAAGAUUGAAACUUAAAGGAAUUGGCGGGGGAGCACCACAAGGGGUGAAGCUUGCGGUUUAAUUGGAGUCAACGCCGGAAAUCUCACCGGGAGCGACAGCAGUGUGAAGGCCAGAUUAAAGGUCUUGCCAGACGAGCUGAGAGGAGG
rnacentral:rRNA from 1 species